UACAGAGGUCCCAAGCGUUACUGAGAAUCACUGGGUUUAAAGGGUGCGUAGGUGGUCCGUUAAGUCAGUUGUGAAAUCCCCGGGCUCAACCCGGGAAAUGCUUCUGAUACUGGCGGACUUGAGGCCAGUGAGGGGUCACUAGAACUGACGGUGGAGCGGUGAAAUGCGUAGAUAUCGUCAGGAAUGCCGGUGGUGAAGACGGGUGACUGGGCUGGUUCUGACACUGAGGCACGAAAGCGUGGGGAGCGAACGGG
rnacentral:rRNA from 1 species